UCCACUGUAACUCAGUGGUAGAACAUCUGGUUUGCAUGCAGAAGGUCUCUGGUUCAAUCUCCAGGUAUGACUGGAA